UGGGGAAUAUUGGACAAUGGGCGAAAGCCUGAUCCAGCCAUGCCGCGUGUGUGAAGAAGGUCUUCGGAUUGUAAAGCACUUUAAGUUGGGAGGAAGGGCAUUAACCUAAUACGUUAGUGUUUUGACGUUACCGACAGAAUAAGCACCGGCUAACUCUGUGCCAGCAGCCGCGGUAAUACAGAGGGUGCAAGCGUUAAUCGGAAUUACUGGGCGUAAAGCGCGCGUAGGUGGUUUGUUAAGUUGGAUGUGAAAUCCCCGGGCUCAACCUGGGAACUGCAUUCAAAACUGACUGACUAGAGUAUGGUAGAGGGUGGUGGAAUUUCCUGUGUAGCGGUGAAAUGCGUAGAUAUAGGAAGGAACACCAGUGGCGAAGGCGACCGCCUGGAAUAAUACUGACACUGAGGUGCGAAAGCGUGGGGAGCAAACA
rnacentral:rRNA from 1 species